UCCCAGCAGUCCAAGUCGCAGCCACUUUUGUUGGGUCUAAAACAUCCGUAGCUUGCUAUAUAAGUCUCGUGUGAAAUCCGGCAUCUUAAGUGUCGGGCGUGCACGAGAUACUGUUUAGCUAGAGACCGGGAGACGCGAUGAGUAGUUAUAGGGUAGCGGUAAAAUGCGUUGAUCCUAUAAGGACUAACGACAGCGAAGGCACGUCGCGAGAACGGAUCUGACAGUGAGGGAUGAAGGCUAGGGGCGCAAAUUGG
rnacentral:rRNA from 1 species